GAUGAAGAACGUAGCGAAAUGCGAUAAGUAAUGUGAAUUGCAGAAUUCAGUGAAUCAUCGAAUCUUUGAACGCACAUUGCGCCCGCCAGUAUUCUGGCGGGCAUGCCUGUUCGAGCGUCAUUUCAACCAUCAAGCCCUGCUUGCGUUGGGGUCCUGCGGCUGCCCGCAGGCCCUGAAAACCAGUGGCGGGCUCGCUAGUCACACCGAGCGCAGUAAUACAUCUCGCUUUGGGCGUGCGACGGGUUCUUGCCGUUAAACACCCCCUUUUUACCAAGGUUGACCUCGGAUCAGGUAGGAAUACCCGCUGAACUUAAGCAUAUCAAUAAGCGGAGGA
rnacentral:misc_RNA from 1 species